ACACUCACUGCAGCUGCUAUCAGAGCGAUGUUUGGCCUUACCACCUGUGUCAGUGCCCAGGUCCGAGAGAAGCCAGAUGACCCCCUGAACUACUUCAUUGGCAACGGCGCAGGAGGCCUGACAUUGGGAGUGCGCACUCACAGCUAUGGGACCGCAGCCAUGGGCUGUGUCUACAUGGGCACUGCAGCUGCCCUGUUCAAGAUCGGCAAGCUGGAAGGCUGGGAGUUGUUCCCUACCCCCAAGAAAUAGAAAAAAGUUGUCCUC